rnacentral:rRNA from 1 species
UACGUAGGCAGCAAGCGUUGUUCGGAGUUACUGGGCGUAAAGGGUGUGUAGGCGGUUGGAUAAGUGUGGUGUGAAAUCUCCCGGCUCAACUGGGAGGGUGCGCUACAAACUGUCUAACUAGAGUGUGGGAGAGGUGAGUGGAAUUCCUGGUGUAGCGGUGAAAUGCGUAGAUAUCAGGAGGAACACCUGUGGCGAAAGCGGCUCACUGGACCACAACUGACGCUGAGGCGCGAAAGCGUGGGGAGCAAACAGG